AGUGCCAGAUGUGGCGCUUAUAGUAUAUUCGCAAGUAAAGCUAUCUAAGGAACAGAGGGAGUACCUCCAGUCUCAACUGGAACACUACUCAUUUACUUGUGGAUCAGAUCUCUCCAAUAUGGAGAACACUCUGGAGGACUUUCCUUUUGUAUAUCUGGAUACUCACCUAUCUGCAUCUAUUGUGCGAGUGAUGUCUCUACUAGUGAUUCAGCACAUUAUCCACAGUGUCAGUUGUGUAUUAAUAAGAACCGUACUUUGGUGAAGAGAAAGACUUAGUAUUUUUUUACCUUUUGUUAAACGAGGAUGCUUUGUUAAGAAUAAAUUUUUUAA